rnacentral:rRNA from 1 species
GAUGAACGCUGGCGGCGUGCCUAAUACAUGCAAGUCGAGCGAACAGACGAGGAGCUUGCUUCUCUGACGUUAGCGGCGGACGGGUGAGUAACACGUGGAUAACCUACCUAUAAGACUGGGAUAACUUCGGGAAACCGGAGCAAAUACCGGAUAAUAUUUUGAACCGCAUGGUUCAAUAGUGAAAGACGGUCUUGCUGUCACUUAUAGAUGGAUCCGCGCUGCAUUAGCUAGUUGGUAAGGUAACGGCUUACCAAGGCAACGAUGCGUAGCCGACCUGAGAGGGUGAUCGGCCACACUGGAACUGAGACACGGUCCAGACUCCUACGGGAGGCAGCAGUAGGGAAUCUUCCGCAAUGGGCGAAAGCCUGACGGAGCAACGCCGCGUGAGUGAUGAAGGUCUUCGGAUCGUAAAACUCUGUUAUUAGGGAAGAACAAAUGUGUAAGUAACUGUGCACGUCUUGACGGUACCUAAUCAGAAAGCCACGGCUAACUACGUG